AGCGAACGCUGGCGGCAGGCCUAACACAUGCAAGUCGAACGAAGUCUUCGGACUUAGUGGCGGACGGGUGAGUAACACGUGGGAACGUACCUUUUGGUUCGGAACAACUCAGGGAAACUUGAGCUAAUACCGGAUGAGCCCUUCGGGGGAAAGAUUUAUCGCCAUUAGAGCGGCGCGCGUUAGAUUAGCUGGUUGGUGAGGUAAAGGCCCACCAAGGCUACGAUCUAUAGCGGGUCUGAGAGGAUGAUCAGCCACACUGGGACUGAGACACGGCCCAGACUCCUACGGGAGGCAGCAGUGGGGAAUCUUGCGCAAUGGGCGAAAGCCUGACGCAGCCAUGCCGCGUGAAUGAUGAAGGUCUUAGGAUUGUAAAAUUCUUUUACCAGGGACGAUAAUGACGGUACCUGGAGAAAAAGCCCCGGCUAACUUCGUGCCAGCAGCCGCGGUAACAC
rnacentral:rRNA from 1 species